rnacentral:rRNA from 1 species
GAAUUUCCCUCCCACAAUGCUGGCACGGGUUCUUCUAGAGCAACAAUGUGGACUGAAAAAAGGCAAAGAGGUUGGGCAGCUCAUUAGGCGGCCGCAGGCUAUCUCCGACCCUCGCUUGCGGGAAGAGGUUGUCGCAGCCGUUCGUAAUGACCCUCACUAUGGUCCGGGUGUAGACACGGUACGCCGGUUGAUCGGGUUGGAGUACGA